rnacentral:rRNA from 1 species
GACGAACGCUGGCGGCGUGCUUAACACAUGCAAGUCGAACGGAAAGGCCCUGCUUUUGUGGGGUGCUCGAGUGGCGAACGGGUGAGUAACACGUGAGUAACCUGCCCCUGACUUUGGGAUAACUUCAGGAAACUGGGGCUAAUACCGGAUAGGAGCUCCUGCUGCAUGGUGGGGGUUGGAAAGUUUCGGCGGUUGGGGAUGGACUCGCGGCUUAUCAGCUUGUUGGUGGGGUAGUGGCUUACCAAGGCUUUGACGGGUAGCCGGCCUGAGGGGGUGACCGGCCACAUUGGGACUGAGAUACGGCCCAGACUCCUACGGGAGGCAGCAGUGGGGAAUAUUGCACAAUGGGCGGAAGCCUGAUGCAGCAACGCCGCGUGCGGGAUGACGGCCUUCGGGUUGUAAACCGCUUUCGCCUGUGACGAAGCGUGAGUGACGGUAAUGGGUAAAGAAGCACCGGCUAACUACGUGCCAGCAGCCGCGGUGAUACGUAGGGUGCGAGCGUUGUCCGGAUUUAUUGGGCGUAAAGGGCUCGUAGGUGGUUGAUCGCGUCGGAAGUGUAAUCUUGGGGCUUAACCCUGAGCGUGCUUUCGAUACGGGUUGACUUGAGGAAGGUAGGGGAGAAUGGAAUUCCUGGUGGAGCGGUGGAAUGCGCAGAUAUCAGGAGGAACACCAGUGGCGAAGGCGGUUCUCUGGGCCUUUCCUGACGCUGAGGAGCGAAAGCGUGGGGAGCGAACAGGCUUAGAUACCCUGGUAGUCCACGCUGUAAACGGUGGGUACUAGGUGUGGGGUCCAUUCCACGGGUUCCGUGCCGUAGCUAACGCUUUAAGUACCCCGCCUGGGGAGUACGGCCGCAAGGCUAAAACUCAAAGGAAUUGACGGGGCCCCGCACAAGCGGCGGAGCAUGCGGAUUAAUUCGAUGCAACGCGUAGAACCUUACCUGGGUUUGACAUGGAUCGGAAGCGCUCAGAGAUGGGUGUGCCUCUUUNGGGGUCGGUUCACAGGUGGUGCAUGGCUGUCGUCAGCUCGUGUCGUGAGAUGUUGGGUUAAGUCCCGCAACGAGCGCAACCCUUGUUUCACUGUUGCCAGCACGUUAUGGUGGGGACUCAGUGGAGACCGCCGGGGUCAACUCGGAGGAAGGUGGGGAUGACGUCAAGUCAUCAUGCCCCUUAUGUCCAGGGCUUCACGCAUGCUACAAUGGCUGGUACAGAGAGUGGCGAGCCUGUGAGGGUGAGCGAAUCUCGGAAAGCCGGUCUCAGUUCGGAUUGGGGUCUGCAACUCGACCUCAUGAAGUCGGAGUCGCUAGUAAUCGCAGAUCAGCAACGCUGCGGUGAAUACGUUCCCGGGGCUUGUACACACCGCCCGUCAAGUCAUGAAAGUUGGUAACACCCGAAGCCGGUGGCCUAACCGUUGUGGGGGAGCCGUCGAAGGUGGGACUGGUGAUUAGGACUAAGUCGUAACAAGGUAGCCGUACCGGAAGG